rnacentral:rRNA from 1 species
CGUCAGCUCGUGUCGUGAGAUGUUGGGUUAAGUCCGCAACGAGCGCAACCCUCGACCUUAGUUGCCAGCAUUCAGUUGGGCACUCUAAGGUGACUGCCGGCUAAAAGUCGGAGGAAGGUGGGGAUGACGUCAAAUCAUCAUGCCCCUUAUGACCUGGGCUACACACGUGCUACAAUGGGCGGUACAAAGGGUCGCGAACCCGCGAGGGGGAGCCAAUCCCAAAAAGCCGCUCUCAGUUCGGAUUGCAGGCUGCAACUCGCCUGCAUGAAGCCGGAAUCGCUAGUAAUCGCGGAUCAGCAUGCCGCGGUGAAUACGUUCCCGGGCCUU